rnacentral:rRNA from 1 species
AGCGAACGCUGGCGGCAGGCUUAACACAUGCAAGUCGAGCGGGCACUUCGGUGUCAGCGGCAGACGGGUGAGUAACACGUGGGAACGUACCCUUUGGUUCGGAAUAACGCUGGGAAACUAGCGCUAAUACCGGAUACGCCCUUUUGGGGAAAGGCUUGCUGCCGAAGGAUCGGCCCGCGUCUGAUUAGCUAGUUGGUGGGGUAAUGGCCUACCAAGGCGACGAUCAGUAGCUGGUCUGAGAGGAUGAUCAGCCACACUGGGACUGAGACACGGCCCAGACUCCUACGGGAGGCAGCAGUGGGGAAUAUUGAACAAUGGGCGCAAGACUGAUCCAGCCAUGCCGCGUGAGUGAUGAAGGCCUUAGGGUUGUAAAGCUCUUUUGUCCGGGACGAUAAUGACGGUACCGGAAGAAUAAGCCCCGGCUAACUUCGUG